GUACUUGGUUCAGCAAUACAUUCAAUAAAAUUGCAACAAUAGGGGGGAAAUUAGCAUAGCCCCUGCGUAAGGGUGACAUACAAAUUUGUGGAAUGUUCCAUGUUUUA
rfam:Octopus bimaculoides Scaffold98512_contig_51, whole genome shotgun sequence.